CCUACGGGUGGCAGCAGUGAGGAAUAUUGGUCAAUGGACGAGAGUCUGAACCAGCCAAGUAGCGUGAAGGAUGACUGCCCUAUGGGUUGUAAACUUCUUUUAUAAAGGAAUAAAACGACGCACGCGAGCCUUUUUGCAUGUACUUUAUGAAUAAGGAUCGGCUAACUCCGUGCCAGCAGCCGAGGUAAUACGGAGGAUCCGAGCGUUAUCCGGAUUUAUUGGGUUUAAAGGGAGCGUAGAUGGGAUGUUAAGUCAGUUGUGAAAGUUUGCGGCUCAACAGUGAGAUUGCAAUUGAUACUGGCAGUCUUGAGUGCAGUUGAGGUAGGCGGAAUUCGGGGUGUAGCGGUGAAAUGCUUAGAUAUCACGAAGAACCCCGAUUGCGAAGGCAGCUUACUAAGCUGUAACUGACGUUGAUGCUCGAAAGUGUGGGGAUCAAACAGGAUUAGAUACCCCGGUAGUC
rnacentral:rRNA from 1 species